GGAAUCUUCGGCAAUGGGGGCAACCCUGACCGAGCAACGCCGCGUGAGUGAGAAGGUCUUCGGAUUGUAAAGCUCUGUUACGAGGGACGAACGGUGGGGUCAGGAAAUGGGCCCCAAUUGACGGUACCUCGCCAGAAAGUGACGGCUAACUACGUGCCAGCAGCCGCGGUAAUACGUAGGUCACGAGCGUUAUCCGGAAUUAUUGGGCGUAAAGAGUGAGCAGGCGGCACUGUAAGUUGGAAGUGAAAGCGUGGGGCUUAACCCCAUACAGCUCCCAAAACUGCAGAGCUAGAGUGCGUGAGAGGUAAACGGAACUCCAUGUGUAGCGGUGAAAUGCGUAGAUAUAUGGAAGAACACCAGCGGCGAAGGCGGUUUACCAGCACGAUACUGACGCUCAGUCACGAAAGCGUGGGUAGCAAAUA
rnacentral:rRNA from 1 species